GGGAUGUGAUGAGUGGUCAAUACUCACAAAUUAUGUGAGAGGGGUGUCUGCCCCAAAGCCUGUUACGACAAUGGGCACUCUCAUUUGAACCAUCUGAUCCC